rnacentral:rRNA from 1 species
UACGUAGGGUGCGAGCGUUAAUCGGAAUUACUGGGCGUAAAGCGUGCGCAGGCGGUGAUGUAAGACAGGUGUGAAAUCCCCGGGCUUAACCUGGGAACUGCAUUUGUGACUGCAUCGCUGGAGUGCGGCAGAGGGGGAUGGAAUUCCGCGUGUAGCAGUGAAAUGCGUAGAGAUGUGGAGGAAUACCGAUGGCGAAGGCAGCCCCCUGGGCCAAUACUGACGCUCAUGCACGAAAGCGUGGGGAGCAAACAGG